rnacentral:rRNA from 1 species
UACAGAGGUCUCAAGCGUUGUUCGGAUUCAUUGGGCGUAACGGGUGUGUAGGUGGCGCCGUAAGUCGGGUGUGAAAUCUCGGGGCUUAACUCCGAAACUGCAUUCGAUACUGCGGUGCUUGAGGACUGGAGAGGAGACUGGAAUUCACGGUGUAGCAGUGAAAUGCGUAGAUAUCGUGAGGAAGACCAGUGGCGAAGGCGGGUCUCUGGACAGUUCCUGACACUGAGGCACGAAGGCCAGGGGAGCAAACGGG